ACACACGCUAAUACGGGAUAGAAUAUCUUUUUCCUUAUGUUUCUUAUAAUUAUGUUCAAAUGACAUAGAUUUAAUUGAAUCUGUUUGUAUCCAGGUAAGAUGGGAGCAUAGAUAAGAAGAAGGGAAAGAGUUUUAAUUAAAAAACAAAUCCGGGGCCGGCCUUUUCAUUGUGAAGACCUCCCUUCUACUAAACCAAAUUUCUACAACUGCAAAACUCAAGAAUGAAAACCACCACACACUCAAGCUUUUUACAACCACACCCUCAUGCUUUUGGUUUUUUGAGGAAAUUUGGUUUAAUUGAAGGGACGUCUUGAUACAUUGUAUGCCCAUCCCUUUCAUAUAUUAAGUCGGUUGCUCAUAAGAAGAACAAAAAAUACCUGAUUUCUGAUAUCCAAUGGUGAUGUAUCUUGUUAGAACAUCUACGAUUCACUUUUUACUUCGCUAUUUUAUGGAAAAAUGUUUUUGUUGGAAAAAUUUAUUGUAACAACCUAAGGAAGGCCUAGGUCCUAUCUAGAGCCCCUUGAAAUUCAUUAUAAAGCGCAAGAACUUCUUCUUCCUAAUCAAUGUGAGAUCCUAUAUACUACCUUCUUAUAUUCAAAUAAUCUGAAGUAUUACAUUUGCUUAGCCUAUAAGAAGACCUCUGGCUUAAUCUCCUUUCUCAUCUCUUGGGAUUUUUUUAAACCGUAAUAUUUAUUUUAUUGGUUUCCAUGGUGACUUUCAAUUCUAUGUGGAACAGGGUUUGCGUGGAACUUCUGAAGAUCUUACUGAUACUCUUCCCGAUGGGAUUGUUCAUUCUUCAGUCAAUGAUAUAAUAGCUUUCCAUAUUUGUCAAGUGCCCGAAAUUCCAGGGAUUAAGGGGAGUGAAGUUAAUGAAUUUAUUUAGCUCUGCUUUGCAAUUUGCAUGGGUCCUUUGGUUGAGCUUGCUAAUCCUUGAGAUACAGAAAUAGAUCUACCCGAUAACUUUGAUUAGAAGCUGUACAGGUCAACACUUGAUGAUGCUUGUAAAGUAGGGGCAUUUAGGGAUUUCAUAGUUGCUAUAAAUUACAAACAACCGUGGAGGUGAACUCCAAGUGCAAUGAUCAAAUUGUGACUGCUGCUUUCAGAUGACAUUAGAUUCUUGGCGAUAGUUGAUGUUGAUACAAAGUGCUGGGAUCUUGCUUGUGUACGUGAAGUGGUUAGGAGAAACACAUUUUUUUGAGUGCUUUUACUUGUAUGUGAUUUAUUUAUUAGGGCUGUUCGGAUUGCUUAAUAUUUUUUUUGUCAUUUUUCCAUUUUUGUCUCAUGCUAAUGGUGAUGUCCUUGGGGGGUUUGCACAUGCAUAUGGAUAUGCCACUAAUACCAUUGUUGAAUGUAGAGCCUUGUAUGAUGGACUUCGGUUAUGUCGGCAAUUAAA